GAUGAACGCUGGCGGCGUGCCUAAUACAUGCAAGUCGAGCGAACAGACAAGGAGCUUGCUCCUUUGACGUUAGCGGCGGACGGGUGAGUAACACGUGGGUAACCUACCUAUAAGACUGGGAUAACUUCGGGAAACCGGAGCUAAUACCGGAUAAUAUUUCGAACCGCAUGGUUCGAUAGUGAAAGAUGGCUUUGCUAUCACUUAUAGAUGGACCUGCGCCGUAUUAGCUAGUUGGUAAGGUAACGGCUUACCAAGGCAACGAUACGUAGCCGACCUGAGAGGGUGAUCGGCCACACUGGAACUGAGACACGGUCCAGACUCCUACGGGAGGCAGCAGUAGGGAAUCUUCCGCAAUGGGCGAAAGCCUGACGGAGCAACGCCGCGUGAGUGAUGAAGGUCUUCGGAUCGUAAAACUCUGUUAUUAGGGAAGAACAAACGUGUAAGUAACUGUGCACGUCUUGACGGUACCUAAUCAGAAAGCCACGGCUAACUACGUGCCAGCAGCCGCGGUAAUACGUAGGUGGCAAGCGUUAUCCGGAAUUAUUGGGCGUAAAGCGCGCGUAGGCGGUUUUUUAAGUCUGAUGUGAAAGCCCACGGCUCAACCGUGGAGGGUCAUUGGAAACUGGAAAACUUGAGUGCAGAAGAGGAAAGUGGAAUUCCAUGUGUAGCGGUGAAAUGCGCAGAGAUAUGGAGGAACACCAGUGGCGAAGGCGACUUUCUGGUCUGUAACUGACGCUGAUGUGCGAAAGCGUGGGGAUCAAACAGGAUUAGAUACCCUGGUAGUCCACGCCGUAAACGAUGAGUGCUAAGUGUUAGGGGGUUUCCGCCCCUUAGUGCUGCAGCUAACGCAUUAAGCACUCCGCCUGGGGAGUACGACCGCAAGGUUGAAACUCAAAGGAAUUGACGGGGACCCGCACAAGCGGUGGAGCAUGUGGUCUAAUUCGAAGCAACGCGAAGAACCUUACCAAAUCUUGACAUCCUUUGACCCUUCUAGAGAUAGAAGUUUCCCCUUCGGGGGACAAAGUGACAGGUGGUGCAUGGUUGUCGUCAGCUCGUGUCGUGAGAUGUUGGGUUAAGUCCCGCAACGAGCGCAACCCUUAAGCUUAGUUGCCAUCAUUAAGUUGGGCACUCUAAGUUGACUGCCGGUGACAAACCGGAGGAAGGUGGGGAUGACGUCAAAUCAUCAUGCCCCUUAUGAUUUGGGCUACACACGUGCUACAAUGGACAAUACAAAGGGCAGCGAAACCGCGAGGUCAAGCAAAUCCCAUAAAGUUGUUCUCAGUUCGGAUUGUAGUCUGCAACUCGACUACAUGAAGCUGGAAUCGCUAGUAAUCGUAGAUCAGCAUGCUACGGUGAAUACGUUCCCGGGUCU
rnacentral:rRNA from 1 species